UACGAAGGGGGCUAGCGUUGUUCGGAAUCACUGGGCGUAAAGCGCACGCAGGCGGAUUGAUAAGUCAGGGGUGAAAUCCCGGAGCUCAACUUCGGAAUUGCCUUUGAUACUGUCAAUCUCGAGUCCGGGAGAGGUGAGUGGAAUUCCUAGUGUAGAGGUGAAAUUCGUAGAUAUUCGGAAGAACACCAGUGGCGAAGGCGACUACCUGGCCUGUUCUUGACGCUGAGGCGCGAAAGCUAGGGGAGCAAACGGG
rnacentral:rRNA from 1 species